CUGGGAGCCCCGGGAGGACGCGGAGUUGGGGGUCGGGCCCGGGGAGGCCUCCAUCGUCCUUCCCUCCUGGCCCCUCCCCGGCGGCCCCGCACCGAAGUCGGCCCGGGGCGGGACCGCGCGUGGUGGCUGGGGAGCCGCGGCAUGGCCUUUGGGAGGCUUCGGCCACGGGUGGAGGGUCCGGGCCCCGCUCCGUGGCCUGCGGGACUCAGGGGUCAUCUCAGGGAGGCCUGUCCUACGUGCAUCCCUGCUGCUCUUCAUACAGCUCCUACUGCUUCGUGUCCUCUAGAACCCGCUCUUCGUUUUCGUCUGUUGCUUAUUGCCUCACAGCCAACUCACUCCCACCCCGACAUGGGUCUGAGCCCCCGACGGCAGAGAUUCGUGUCUGUUUUUAACUCGUGAGUAAGAAAUGUAAAUUGCCCAGAACCGUGCCUGGCGGGAGUUAACAACUGUACGUGUCGACUGUUACUAUUUUGUUCAGGCAGCAUCUGGGGCGCCUAAAACAGGCCUGGGACGUAGUAGGAACUCAGUGUUUCUCGAAUGAAUGAAUGAAUGAAUGAAUGAAUGAAUGAAUGAAUGAAUGAGGUUCUUGCCAGAACCUUAUGACAAAGAAAGGAAACAGAUUUUCUGUGAUUAGUUAAGCUGUGUCAGUAAAUGCUUCUGAGUAGGGCACUGAGCUGGACGCUGGAGGUAGAGAUUCUUAGCAGAGAGAGGCUUUUAGGGCAACAGGGAAAAAAGGAGAGCUAAUUGUAUGUAUGUAUGUAUGUAUGUAUGUAUAACAUAAAUAGCAAAGAACCACAUGGCUAGCAGUGACAGAAAGUGCUAAUGUAAUCAUUUUUGCCUCUCACCAGUAGGCACUCUGGGUUGUUUUAUUAUACUGAUUUUUACCCAGCAUCCAGUUUCAGCAUCACAGACAUCAGUGGCCAAAUGACUUGAGGUUACAUUGGAUUUUUCAGGGAAUACAGAGCUAAAAAACACAACACUCUGUUCCCUGGAAAUAAUGCAGGUAGAAAUUAAAAUGUGAAAUGAAAAGGAAAAUGGAGUGUUUGUGAUCUCAUUGAGAAUGCUUUAGCUCACAUGCUUCACUCUUAGGUUGUUUUUGUUUGCUGGGAAUUUUUGCUGGUUGGUUGUUUCGGGUUUUGUAGGAGUCGUUCGGACUUACUUGGAUAUCAGGUCUGGGAUAUUUGCUAUUGGACUUGGAAUGAGACAAAUGGGAUUAACAAUUUUCUGUUUUCUGACAUUUUAGCUACUCCAUUUUCAUGUUCUUCACAUUUUUAGUGUUACUAGCAAAAGAUGGAAUUCAACAUACUUAGAGUCCUUAAUCACUUAACACAUCUUUUGGGGAAGGUACAAAACAUUAAUUACACAGGAUUAUUGCUAGGACAUAACCUUUUCUAUUAACAGAAAUCCAGUCACUCUGAGGCAUCCACUGAAUAACUUGAGGGUUUAAAAGAUAUAUGUACCAACUAAAUUGUACAUAUUCAAAUAAGGAAGUAUAAUUUAGCCGAAGAAUCAGUCAUUAAUAUCAUUUAAAAUUUACAUCUCCAAAAAUGUAUAUAUUUGGGGGCCUGGGUAGCAACGUGUUUUACUUUCUAACUCUGUAUGGGUAAAACCUCCCCUAGAAGAUGGCUUUUGGGGCAGAAGACAUAAUCCUUGUUGGUGCCCCUUGUAGUCUUGUCACGAUCUUGAGGUCCGUGAGUUCAAACCCUGUGUCGGGCUCUGUGCUGACAGCUCAGAGCCUGGAGCCUGCUUCUGUUUCUGUGUUUCCCUCUCUCUCUGCCCCUCCCCCAUUCACGCUCUGUCUCUCUCUGCCUUUCAAAAAUGAAUACAUGUUAAAAAAAUUUUUUUUAAUUCUAUUUCCCUCAAAAUGCAUGCCUAUGUAGGUAUAGGAGGCCAGCACUCACAAUGACACCUUUUAACUUGCCCUGCUUUUACUCCUUGAAGGGCAGCCAUCUUGCUCAUUUAGUAACUAUCUGCCUUUUUCACCCCCCCUUUCCCCUUUAUUCCCUCCUCCAUCUAGUUUUCCUAAAUGAUAGUCCUCCCUGCAAUCUACGGCUACUUUCUUCCUUUCAGUUAAUUGGCCAAAGUAGUGAAAGGCAUAUGAAUUUUGGAGUUAGAGACCUAUGUUUAAGUAAAAAAAAGCUUUAGUUUCUUCCUUUUUUCUUGCAUAUGUCACUGAACUAUUCUGAACUUCAGUUUCCUCAUUUGUAAACAGAUUAUAAUACCUAAAUUGGUCACUUGUAGGAAUUCGAGCAUCAAUAUAAGCAUCAUAAAUGUAAGCCCAGCACAGUACCUGGCAUACAGAGGAUAGUCACUAAAUACUAGUACUUGUCUCUUCACCUACUUUCCUCCCUGUUAGAUGUCUAGUAGCACCCAGCCUUUACCAAUGACCAUUUCUUUACAUGCUUAUCUAAAGGCCAUUUAAGUCAAAUCCAUCUUUGGCUCCCUACUCUCUAAAAUAACCCAAACUUUCCAGAUUCUCCUUUUAAGUAGGUUGGAUUACGCCCUCCCCCCCUCUUUUUAAAGUUUAUUUAUUCAUUUCUGAGAGAGAGAGAGAGAGCACACAUGAGCUGGGGAGGGGCAGAGGGGGAGGGAGACAGAAUCCCAAGCAGGCUCUGAGCUGUCAGUGCAGAAUCCAACAUGGGGCUCAAACUCCCCAAACUGCAAGAUCAUGCCCUUAGCCGAAUUCGGCCACUUAACCGACUGAGCCACUCAGGUGCCCCAGAUUACAGCCCCUUUAAGUGCUGCUCUUUUAGGAACUAGAAAUUCCUCCCACAUAAUAGAGCGUAUCCAGUGUUAGAUAGAGAUGUUUCUUAAAAACACUGGCAUAUCCCAGUGCAAUCUCUGUCAAAACACUAACAGCAUUUUCCAUAGAGCUAGAAUAAAUAGUUCUAAAAUUUGUAUGGAAUCACAAAGGAUGCUGAAAAGCCAUAACAAACUUGAAAAAAAAAAAGCUGGAGGCGUCACAAUUCUGGACUUCAAGUUAUAUAAACAAAGCUAUAGUAAUCAAAACAGUAUGGUACUGGCACAAAAAUAGACAC